UGCCAGACAUUGCUGAAUUCCGCGGCAAACGGAAGCGGGGGAACCAAUUUGUUGGGGCGAAUCGCGCACUGCGCGUAAGGCAUCUCUCAGCCUGAGUCCGUCAGCUCACCUCGCAAGCGCAAUGAGAGCCUCC
rnacentral:sRNA from 2 species